UCCUCUGGACAGGUUUUGAUAAAUCUCCCCCCAAUGGCCCUGAUUUACUAAAGUCCGAUCGACUUUUUUUCUUGGUUUAUGCGCCAAAAUUUUACACCGCACAACCUACACUUUUGAAAACACUCGGAGUAUUUUUUUUUUAUUUUUUUUACGAGAAAAUGGGCGUGGCUAACCAAAAAAUGGGCAUGUUCCCGAAAAAAAGCAAAAAUUACUUCCAAAAUCACUCCUGAAAAAGUGCGAGUUUGCCUCACACAAUAACCGCCAAGAGGACGAAUGAAAAUAAAAAAAUGGAGUGAUUUGUAACAAGGGACUGUCACGCCCCCUCCCAUAGACUUGCAUUAAGGGGACGGGCGUGACGGCCGGGGGGCGGAGUCCUGACGUCACGGACUUCCGUUCCCAGAGUCGCGACUCAGACCCUCCAGCGGUUCCGGUGAAAAAACAGGCAACAUCUUUAUCCAACCACAGCAUAUAUCCUUAAUGUUACAGGGAUAGUCACAGCACAGACUGGGAUCAACCAAGGGGCGAGGUCCCGAGAUGGUUUUUCCAGGGGAAUUUUCUCUUAGUAUAAUUAAGGAUCAGAAGACGUGAAGACGGCAACAUCACGGAAAAUUCUCUGCAAAACGAAUUAUCCUUAAGCCUCAUUAUCCGUCUUUAUUCCUGGAAAUCUCUCAGCUUUGAAAUCAAGUCUGGAAGUGUGAAGAUUCUAUUGUAAAACUACAGAGGACGACGACUAAUGAAAUGAUCUCUAAUUAAGCAAUAAUUAACAUUAAGGGAUAGUAACAAUUUUGUUGUGAAAAUUCACUGCAACUCAAAAUCAGUCUCAUUCACCUUAAAGGGGUAUUCCAGAAAAAUUAUAUU